rnacentral:rRNA from 1 species
UACGAAGGGGGGCUAGCGUUGCUCGGAAUCACUGGGCGUAAAGGGUGCGUAGGCGGGUUCUUAAGUCAGAGGUGAAAUCCUGGAGCUCAACUCCAGAACUGCCUUUGAUACUGAGAGUCUUGAGUUCGGGAGAGGUGAGUGGAACUGCGAGUGUAGAGGUGAAAAUUCGUAGAUAUUCGCAAGAACACCAGUGGCGAAGGCGGCUCACUGGCCCGAUACUGACGCUGAGGCACGAAAGCGUGGGGAGCGAACAGG